rnacentral:rRNA from 1 species
UGCGUAGGUGGUUUCUUAAGUCAGAGGUGAAAGGCUACGGCUCAACCGUAGUAAGCCUUUGAAACUGGGAAACUUGAGUGCAGGAGAGGAGAGUGGAAUUCCUAGUGUAGCGGUGAAAUGCGUAGAUAUUAGGAGGAACACCAGUUGCGAAGGCGGCUCUCUGGACUGUAACUGACAUUGAGGCACGAAAGCGUGGGGAGCAAACA